AAUUGCGAAUAAUCGCUUAUCAGAUUGCGAAUAAACUCGACCAAAAUCUGUUGAUAGCUUCAUGGACAUCUAUAUCCACAUUCAACUCGUGCUCUGUCGACAAAUCUGCUGGCAUUCAACUCUGUCGACAAAUCUGCUGGCAAAAUCUAACGGUAAAUUGGCGACAGAAAAUGAGCAAGAUCUGCAGUGCGUUCCAUUUAAGUAUCUUAGGCUCAGGUCAAUUCUUGUCGUCAGUCUAUCACUAUACUCUGUCAUCAGAUUUUGCUGUAUUUUUUUUUAGGAUAGAGUCUACAGCAAACACUGUGCAAUCUGCUCUUGCGAGUUUGACUACCUGGGGUCGUGGCAGUACUGAAAAUCACGCAGUCGAUUUAGAGUGUCUAUUGUUCAAAAUACCAAUAGAAUAACGAGUAUAAAUAGAAAAUUCACGUAUCUAUGAAAUAACAUGCGCGGUUGUUUACAUUCCUCGCAUACGUCGUCGAGCUGCGAGAUGUAUUGUUUUUUGGCCUGCUCGGAUGAGAGACGUACAAACGAAAUGUAUUUUUGAGAAUUGCAGUAUAAAACACAUACAGAGUCAGAUGGAAAAGGACCAUGAUAGGCCUGCAACCAAGAAGAAAAAGAGAAAGAGCUCGGGAUGACGUCCAAGAGGACGGACACCGUGUUAUGGGAAUGUCAAAAAUUGUGCAGGCAAUUUGUUCGGAUGGAAGGGGACGUGCAUAAGAGAGUUUUUAAGGUUAAUGUUGUUAUAGAUUCCGCGUUGGACACAAGAGAGUGCUUGCACUCAUUAUCGCGCGAUACAUAAUUUAUUUUUUCUAUAUCUAUAAUUUUCUAAAUACUCAUAAUAUACCUAUCGUGUUACUCGAGAUUACGAUUAAACUUUGA